rnacentral:rRNA from 1 species
AGACUCGAGCUCGACAGGUGUUGCAUGGCUGUCGUCAGCUCGUGUCGUGAGAUGUUGGGUUAAGUCCCGCAACGAGCGCAACCCUCAUCCUUAGUUACCAUCAGGUAAUGCUGGGGACUUUAAGGAAACUGCCAGUGAUAAACUGGAGGAAGGUGGGGAUGAUGUCAAGUCAUCAUGGCCCUUAUGGAGUGGGCUACACACGUGCUACAAUGGUGGCUACAAUGGGCUGCAAAGUCGCGAGGCUAAGCUAAUCCCUUAAAAGCCAUCUCAGUUCGGAUUGUACUCUGCAACUCGAGUGCAUGAAGUUGGAAUCGCUAGUAAUCGUGGAUCAGCACGCCACGGUGAAUACGUUCUCGGGUCUUGUACACACUGCCCGUCACGCCAUGGGAAUUGGUUUCCAUGGAGCUAGCGG